UACGGGGGGGGCAAGCGUUGUUCGGAAUUACUGGGCGUAAAGGGCUCGUAGGUGGCCAACUAAGUCAGACGUGAAAUCCCCAGGCUCAACUUGGGAACUGCGUCUGAUACUGGAUGGCUUGAGUUCGGGAGAGGGAUGCGGAAUUCCAGGUGUAGCGGUGAAAUGCGUAGAUAUCUGGAGGAACACCGGUGGCGAAGGCGGCAUCCUGGACCGAUACUGACGCUGAUGAGCGAAAGCCAGGGGAGCAAACGGG
rnacentral:rRNA from 1 species